UACGUAGGGGGCAAGCGUUGUCCGGAUUCAUUGGGCGUAAAGAGCGUGUAGGCGGCCAGGUAGGUCGGUUGUGAAAACUGGAGGCUCAACCUUCAGAGGUCGACCGAAACCAUCUGGCUAGAGUCCGGGAGAGGAGAGUGGAAUUCCUGGUGUAGCGGUGAAAUGCGCAGAUAUCAGGAGGAACACCGGUGGUGUAAACGGCUUUCUGGACCAUAACUGACGCUGAGGCACGAAAGCGUGGGUAGCAAACAGG
rnacentral:rRNA from 1 species